rnacentral:rRNA from 1 species
GAUCAUGGCUCAGGAUGAACGCUAGCGGCAGGCUUAACACAUGCAAGUCGAGGGGCAACGCGAGUAGCAAUACUUGGCGGCGACCGGCGCAAGGGUGCGUAACGCGUGAGCAACAUGCCCGUAUCAGGGGGAUAAUCCAGGGAAACUUGGUCUAAUACCCCAUAGUAAUUUUGUAAGGCAUCUUAUAAGAUUUAAAGCUUUGGUGGAUACGGAUUGGCUCGCGUGACAUUAGCUGGAUGGUAAGGUAACGGCUUACCAUGGCUAUGAUGUCUAGGGGUUCUGAGAGGAAGGUCCCCCACACUGGAACUGAGACACGGUCCAGACUCCUACGGGAGGCAGCAGUGAGGAAUAUUGGACAAUGGAUGGAAAUCUGAUCCAGCCAUGCCGCCGUGAAGGAAGAAGGUCCUAUGGAUUGUAAACUUCUUUUGUAUGGGAGCAAUAAGGCCUACGAGUAGGUUGAUGAGAGUACCAUACGAAUAAGCACCGGCUAACUCCGUGCCAGCCGCGGC